rnacentral:rRNA from 1 species
UAGGUGGCAAGCGUUAUCCGGAUUUAUUGGGUGUAAAGGGCGUGUAGGCGGGAAUGCAAGUCAGAUGUGAAAACUAUGGGCUCAACCCUGAACCUGCAUUUGAAACUGUAGAUCUUGAGUGAUGGAGAGGCAGGCGGAAUUCCGUGUGUAGCGGUGAAAUGCGUAGAUAUACGGAGGAACACCAGUGGCGAAGGCGGCCUGCUGGACAUUAACUGACGCUGAGGCGCGAAAGCGUGGGGAGCAAA